CUGGGGAGCCCUGAGGUGCAUGGAAGUGGGGGACUGGCGUCUCUCGAUUCCCGGGCAGCCCCAGCCAUACUCUAGCAUCCUGCCUGGCUGGGUGGAGUGUGUCUCUUGGGUCACACGGAUGCCUGCUGAGGAUGCCCAGUACCGAGGGCCGGUGCCCCGCCCCGCAGUGCCCUCGGCCUGAUUCAGAGCCCACCCCUGGGAGGAGCCCCAACUCCAGGAGGGUUGGGCUGGGGCUUGGAGGUCCUAGCCACAGAGUGACAGGAUGGGGACGAGGCCUAGGGGCCUUGGGGCCAGGAGGGUACCCCCGUGAGGGCCUGGGCUCCUGGGUAAACAUUAAUGGGCUCAGUACCCAGCAGGUCAUGUGCGCGAUCAGGGGAUCUUUGACCUGCAACUGCUCCCGCCCCAUGUCUCCUCCCUGCAGGUGCCCCCUCACCACCCACACAGCCUUCCAGUCAGGACCAGCAAGGGAGCCGGGGAGCUGGAGCCCCUUCGAGUCUACCCGAAACUGGACUGGGCUCGCCUGGCAACUGCCUGAGGUCAUUGCAGCAA
rnacentral:lncRNA from 1 species